rnacentral:rRNA from 1 species
GACGAACGCUGGCGGCGUGCUUAACACAUGCAAGUCGAACGGAAAGGCCCUGCUUUUGUGGGGUGCUCGAGUGGCGAACGGGUGAGUAACACGUGAGUAACCUGCCCUUGACUUUGGGAUAACUUCAGGAACCUGGGGCUAAUACCGGAUAGGAGCUCCUGCUGCAUGGUGGGGGUUGGAAAGUUUCGGCGGUUGGGGAUGGACUCGCGGCUUAUCAGCUUGUUGGUGGGGUAGUGGCUUACCAAGGCUUUGACGGGUAGCCGGCCUGAGAGGGUGACCGGCCACAUUGGGACUGAGAUACGGCCCAGACUCCUACGGGAGGCAGCAGUGGGGAAUAUUGCACAAUGGGCGGAAGCCUGAUGCAGCAACGCCGCGUGCGGGAUGACGGCCUUCGGGUUGUAAACCGCUUUCGCCUGUGACGAAGCGUGAGUGACGGUAAUGGGUAAAGAAGCACCGGCUAACUACGUG